CGGAGGACCGUCCCGGCCGACGCGAUUUGUUUCGCUAGAAAAUCGUCCGGCGAAGACGGCAGUUCCUUCUCUACUCCGACGGAACUCCCUGCGUCUCUUUUUCAGAUGUAUGAUCUACUGUAUGUAUGAGCAACUGGAUAGGCUUCAUGGGUCCAUUGGCUUUUAUCAUUUCACAGUUGCUAAUGCAGAGAAACUCUUGAAAGAGCCACAACACAAAGCACAAUUCGGACGCCCAGUAGUGCUUUUUGCAAAAUCUCGAUGCAACAAAGUAAUUAGAGUUGAAAUUGUGAAGUUAGUUUCAUAGUUGAAUCAGGUAAGUAGACAUGUUCUCUGCAUGCAUGCAAGUUGGAUGUGUCUACAGUUCAGGCUAUCUUGUCCAGGUUUGUUCCUACACUGGUCACUGUAAGAGAUUCUGUUGAUAUAUGUAGCAUUGAGUUUGUGCCA